CCUUCGAGUGCUGCACUUUGGGAGACUCCCGCCGCAAUCAUUUCAUUUGGAAAGAUGGCGGACCACAGAUUUUCAUUUUCUUCCGUGAGAUACCAGGGCGCAGUGAUGCAAUGUCAGAGCACAAAGAGGACAUGGGGACAAAGAUGGCGGUUGCACAUUCACAAUCAGAUAGAGAAUCUCUGAGCAAAACGGAGGUGCAGAGGACAGC